rfam:Clostridium sp. CAG:433 genomic scaffold, scf21
GCCGAAAUAGCUCAAUUGGUAGAGCAACUGACUUGUAAUCAGUAGGUUACGGGUUCAAUUCCUGUUUUCGGCA